GGCCAGGUGGCGGAGUGGUUAUCGCGCCAGACUCGAAUUAACGCAUUAUUACGUUUAUAAUCGGUUAUCUGGUUCCUUCGGGAGCGUCUGUUCGAAUCAGGCCCUGGUCG